rnacentral:lncRNA from 1 species
CAUUAAGUUCAAGAUGGGGAGGGGUUGGGGUGAGGGCUGGCCUGUCUGAGGAGGGGCAUUUGCAGUGCUGGAGCAAGCCAUGGAGGACAGGAAUUGCUCCAGUCAGAGGAACAGCAAGGACAAGGGGCCCAAGACGGCAUGUACUAGAGGCUCCACGCAUAGAAAAAGCCAGCCAUCCCCAGCGCUGUAACUGAGUGGCCAGUGGUGGGAGCUGGGCUUAUGAUGCAGGUACUGUGUCACGCAAGGUGCUGAGUGCUUUACCUGUGGUGUCUUAUUUGACCUUCACAAGCACCCUGAGAGGAAGUUAAGGAUAUUAUCCUUUUCAGCACUGGGUACGUUAUUUGUUGGGGACAAUGCAAGAUAAAAAUGUGGAGCCCCUUGUUAAAGAUUGUUAAGAAUUAUUAACAAAUUAUUUAAAAUUUAUUAAGAAUUUCAACAGCAGAGCAUUCAAGCAAGCAUGGGUCCAUCUAAGUAUGACUGUGCAGGUUGAAUGCCUAUGAAGUAAACUCUGUCCCCAUUUUAAGAUGAAGAAACUGAGGCUCAAGGAGGUUAAGUAAUGUCCCUGGGGGUCAUGCAACUAGGAAACAGCAAAGUUGAGAUCUGUGUUCUUUAUUACAGUCUUUGUAAUAGUUAAUUUUAUGCAUCAACUUGACUGGAUCACAGUGUGCCCAGAUAUUUGAUCAAACAUUAUUCUGAGUGUUUCCGUGACAAUGUUUUUGGAUACAAUCAACAUUUAUUUAAUUGGUUGAAGACCUGAAUAGAACAAAGAGUUCAAUUCUCUCAAGUAAGAGAAUUCCUCCUGUCUGACUACUUCAGAAUUGGGACAUUGGCUUUUUCCUGCCUCUACACUACAACUACACCAUCAAGCCUUCAGACAUGGAAAGGAACCACACUAUUGGCUCUCCUCGGUCUUCAGCUUGCCAACUCAAUGCAGAUCUUUGCAUUUGUCAGCCUUAUAACCAUGUGAGCUAAUUCCCUAAAAUAAAUGUCCUCAUUUAAAUGUA